UGGGGAAUAUUGCGCAAUGGGGGAAACCCUGACGCAGCAACGCCGCGUGGAGGAUGAAGGCCUUCGGGUCGUAAACUCCUGUCAGGUGGGAAGAAUAGGUUGCAGCAAAUAACUGCAACUGUUGACGGUACCACCAGAGGAAGCCCCGGCUAACUCCGUGCCAGCAGCCGCGGUAAUACGGAGGGGGCAAGCGUUAUUCGGAAUCAUUGGGCGUAAAGGGCGCGUAGGCGGCCUGGCAAGUCAAAGGUGAAAUCCCUCGGCCCAACCGAGGAACCGCCUUUGAAACUGCAAGGCUCGAGGCCGGGAGAGGGUAGCGGAAUUCCCAGUGUAGCGGUGAAAUGCGUAGAUAUUGGGAGGAACACCAGUGGCGAAGGCGGCUACCUGGACCGGUUCUGACGCUGAGGCGCGAAAGCGUGGGGAGCAAACAGG
rnacentral:rRNA from 1 species